rnacentral:lncRNA from 1 species
GAUUAGAGCUAGGAUUAGUCUCCAAUCUUAAUCCCUGAAGUUUUAAACACUCUCAAGCCUUCAUUUCAUAUUUUUGCCAAAUUUUUCUGAAUUUAAAUUCAAAAUUCAAAUUUUGGUCAAAUUUGACUUGAAUUUGACUUUUAGUCAAUUUCUUCUCUUUUUCACCACAAUGCAUCUUUAACUUUUCUUAGUCACCUUUGGUUAUUGAAACACCAGGUGUUACACUCACCGUCGCCCGCCGUCCCACUCCCCGCUAGUACAGGCCGACGCCCCCCUCCUUGCACCUGAACUGCUACCGCCGGGACCCUUGCUGACGCAAGCUCGUGGCUUGCUGACGCAAGGGCCCCGACUUUUACUAUUUUAGUUA